GAGAGUUUGAUUAUGGCUCAGGAUGAACGCUGGCGGCGUGCUUAACACAUGCAAGUCGAACGAGAGGCGUGAGAAGAAGUUUUCGGACGGAAAUUCAUGCUUCGAGUGGCGGACGGGUGAGUAACGCGUGGGGAACCUGCCUCAUACAGGGGGAUAACAGCCGGAAACAGCUGUUAAUACCGCAUAAGACCCCAGUGCCGCAUGGCACGGGGGUAAAAACUCCGGUGGUAUGAGAUGGACCCGCGUCCGAUUAGCCAGUUGGCGGGGUAAAGGCCCACCAAAGCGACGAUCGGUAGCCGAUCUGAGAGGAUGACCGGCCACAUUGGGACUGAGACACGGCCCAAACUCCUACGGGAGGCAGCAGUGGGGAAUAUUGCACAAUGGGGGGAACCCUGAUGCAGCGACGCCGCGUGAGUGAAGAAGUAUUUCGGUAUGUAAAGCUCUAUCAGCAGGGAAGAAGAUGACGGUACCUGAGUAAGAAGCCCCGGCUAACUACGUGCCAGCAGCCGCGGUAAUACGUAGGGGGCAAGCGUUAUCCGGAUUUACUGGGUGUAAAGGGAGCGCAGACGGCAGCGUAAGUCUGAAGUGAAAGCCCGCGGCUUAACCGCGGGACUGCUUUGGAAACUACGCGGCUUGAGUGUCGGAGGGGCAGGCGGAAUUCCUGGUGUAGCGGUGAAAUGCGUAGAUAUCAGGAAGAACACCGGUGGCGAAAGCGGCCUGCUGGACGACAACUGACGUUGAGGCUCGAAGGCGUGGGGAGCGAACAGGAUUAGAUACCCUGGUAGUCCACGCGGUAAACGAUGAAUACCACGUGUCGGCGCCCAAAGUGAGUCGGUGCCGUCGCAAACGCAGUAAGUAUUCCACCUGGGGAGUACGUUCGCAAGAAUGAAACUCAAAGGAAUUGACAGGGACCCGCACAAGCAGUGGAGCAUGUGUUAAUUCGAAGCACGCGAAGAACUUACAAGUCUGACAUCCCGCGACGAUCCCGCAACGGGAUUCUCAUCGAGCAACGAAACAGUGUGCAUGCUGUCGUCAGCUCGUGUCCGGAAUGUCGGGUAAGUUCCGCACGAGCGCAACCUAAUUGUCAGUACCAGCCAGUUAAGUCUGCACUCUGGACAGACCUGCUGUAAACAUGAAGUGGAAUAACGCCAAUCUACAUUCCUUAUCGGAGUAUUUUGCGACAACACACAACUGC
rnacentral:rRNA from 1 species